UAACCACUCAAGCCUGGCUUGGUGUUGGGGUUCGCGGUACCCGCGGCUCCUAAAACCAGUGGCGGUGCCGGUGGGCUCUAAGCGUAGUAAAUCUCCUCGCUAUAGGGUUCCCCCGGUGGCUUGCCAAAACCCCCAAUUUUUACA
rnacentral:misc_RNA from 1 species